CUUUCCACGGAGGUCAGGGAGGAGGUCCGCAAGCUCCGGUUGAAAGACAAGCAUGCAGGCCUAAAGGGGGAAGGAGACAGUGGAUCAGAGGUUCUGGAAGCUUACCUGAGAAAAUACUCUCAAUGCCAAAAGCUUCUGGGACCUGUGAGAGGCUCAGCAGGGUGCUACAGUGCCAGGGAUGAAGAAGAUGGCCACAGGACUUUGGAUGCUGAGUUCUGUGAUGUAGGUGAUUUUGAUGAGAACUUUAGCCCGAGGGGACCCCGUUGACUGAUCCGAGGACCGGGCCAUGACCGGAGAAUGGGAAAAAGACAUUUUACAGUGGAAGACUGUGUUCUCUUAUCAGUCUGGCAGCCGAGUGCCCGGUGGCAGUACCAGCUCUUCUGCUUCACACAAUAGCAACUUCAUUUCCUCCUUUAGACAACACAAAUGGGUAUGGCUGGCUUGGCCUCCUGUACUCCUAAGGGGUUUUCAUUCGUGUGUUUGAGACAAGGUCUUGCUAGGAAGCUCUGACAGCCUAGCGCUCACUGGGUAGAACAACAGGUGGGCCUUGAACUUGCAGCAAUUCUCCUGCCUCUACCUCUCAAGGGCUGAGAUUUUUGGGGCAUGCCGCUAUGUGUGACAUUUAAGAGAAAUCUCAUAAGCCCAGAGUACUGUAAAUGAUCUUGGCUUCUAUUAUGGAUUCCUAUUGCAAAUCAUUUCCCAUAAUACACGGACUACAGAAUGAGUGACAAGCUGUACCGGCGUGUCCUGGUCCAUCAAGUAAGCCCCAUGGCCUUGGCUGACAGCCUCUC
rnacentral:lncRNA from 1 species